rnacentral:lncRNA from 10 species
AACAUCAGAGUAAGUGUUCUAGAGAUUAAUGGCUGCUGUUUGGCAAGGUCCAUAGACGUCCUUUCCUGCCAAUACAAAUAUAUACAUUGUUGAAGCACAAGACUAUAUCCACAGAUAGGAUUACAUGUUAACUGAAAAGAUUCAAGGCUGCAUCUUCCCCUUCUUAUUCUCCCAAAGGAAGAGAAGAUGGGCCAUCAAUGAAAAAUGGUGGUUACAAUGAAGCAACUGAUUUCACAGCUAAGGCGAGAGCACUGCACUUCCUCCUCAUGCUUUCUGGUACACUCCAUGUUCAGAGAAACUUCUCUAGUAACAAACUAUGAAAAUGGCUCCUCAAAGUUGUUAAACUCCCACUAAGAAGCAUGAAAAAGAGCAAGAUGCACUUGAGGAGAUAAAGCAGACCUUUGAAGGGAAACCAAACAUCAGUUCAAGUUGUAACUUAGAGACCAGAAAAGAUAUUC